rnacentral:snRNA from 1 species
AGCAUUGCGCAGUGGCAGUAUUGUAGCCAAUGAUGUUUAUCCGAGGCACGAUUAUUGCUAAUUGAAAACCUGUGAUGAAUGUGGUUGGAAAAUAUUAAACAAAGAGAGACUAUAGAAUUUAAAGUCUCUAUAUGUGA